UAUGAUUAAUCUCAUAACAUCUUUAACUGAAUACAUAGGUUAUUGAAGGGAACCUAGGGAACUGAAACAUCUUAGUACCUAGAGGAAAAGAAAACGAAUGUGAUUCUGUCAGUAGCGGCGAGCGAAAGCGGAACAGGCCAAACCGGUCUACGGGCCGGGGUUGUAGGACUCUUGUUAGAGUUACAAAAUUAGUGUAUAGCAGAAACUGUUGGGAAACAGUGGCAUAGAGUGUGAUACCCACGUAUGCGAAAUGCACUAAUCUCGAGAGAGUAUCCUGAGUACGGCGGGGCACGUGAAACCCUGUCGGAAUCUACCCAGACCACUGGGUAAGCCUAAAUACUACCAUUUUACCGAUAGUGAACCAGUACCGUGAGGGAAAGGUGAAAAGUACCCCGUGAGGGGAGUGAAAUAGUACCUGAAACCAUAUGCUUACAAGAAGUCAGAGCCCGUUAAUGGGUAAUGGCGUGCUUUUUGUAGAAAGAGCCGGCGAGUUACGAUAUCAUGCAAGGUUAAGUGGAAUACACGGAGCCGCAGUGAAAGCGAGCCUUAAUAGGGCGUUUAGUAUGAUGUCGUAGACACGAAACCAGGUGAUCUAGCCAUGAGCAGGUUGAAGUUAGGGUAAAACCUAAUGGAGGACCGAACCGACGUUCGUUGAAAUGACCGCGGAUGACUUGUGGCUAGGGGUGAAAUUCCAAUCGAACCUGGAGAUAGCUAGUUCUCCCCGAUAUAGCUUUAAGGCUAGCGUCGAGGUUUAGGAUUAUGGAGGUAGAGCUCUGAAUGUAUGAUGGCCCCACCUAGGGGUACUGAUUACAAUUAAACUACGAAUGCCAUAAUUUCAUACUCGGCAGUCAGAACAUGGGUGAUAAGGUCCAUGCUCGUGAGGGAAACAGCCCAGAUCAACAACUAAGGUCCCUAAAUUUAUGCUAAGUGUGUAAGGAUGUGGAAGUGCACAAACAGCUAGUAUGUUGGCUUAGAAGCAGCCAUCAUUUAAAGAGUGCGUAACAGCUCACUAGUCGAGUGCUUCUGCGCCGAAAAUGUACCGGGGCUUAAGCAUAGUACCGAAGUUUUGGAUUUACAGUAAUGUAAGUGGUAGGGGAGCGUUCUAAUCGUGAUGAAGUUAAACCGUGAGGAUUAGUGGAAUGAUUAGAAGUGAUUAUGCCGGCAUGAGUAACGUUUGGGAGUGAGAAUCUCCCAUGCCGUUUGACCAAGGUUUCCUGGGCAAGGUUCGUCCACCCAGGGUUAGUCAGGACCUAAGGCGAGGCCGAAAGGCGUAGUCGAUGGACAACAGGUUGAUAUUCCUGUACCACCUAAUAAA
rnacentral:rRNA from 2 species